UCGGGAAUUUUGGGCAAUGGGGGAAACCCUGACCCAGCAACGCCGCGUGAAGGAUGAAGUAUUUCGGUAUGUAAACUUCGAAAGAAUAGGAAGAAUAAAUGACGGUACUAUUUAUAAGGUCCGGCUAACUACGUGCCAGCAGCCGCGGUAAUACGUAGGGACCAAGCGUUGUUCGGAUUUACUGGGCGUAAAGGGCGCGUAGGCGGCAUGACAAGUCACUUGUGAAAUCUCUGGGCUUAACCCAGAACGGCCAAGUGAUACUGUCGCGCUAGAGUGCAGAAGGGGCAAUCGGAAUUCUUGGUGUAGCGGUGAAAUGCGUAGAUAUCAAGAGGAACACCUGAGGUGAAGACGGGUUGCUGGGCUGACACUGACGCUGAGGCGCGAAAGCCAGGGGAGCAAACGGGAUUAGAUACCCCGUAGUCCCUGAGCGGGCUGGCAAGGCGCAU
rnacentral:rRNA from 1 species